CAGUAGCCACGGUAAUACGAAGGGGGCUAGCGUUGUUCGGAAUUACUGGGCGUAAAGCGCACGUAGGCGGACAUUUAAGUCAGGGGUGAAAUCCCGGGGCUCAACCCCGGAACUGCCUUUGAUACUGGGUGUCUAGAGUAUGGAAGAGGUGAGUGGAAUUCCGAGUGUAGAGGUGAAAUUCGUAGAUAUUCGGAGGAACACCAGUGGCGAAGGCGGCUCACUGGUCCAUUACUGACGCUGAGGUGCGAAAGCGUGGGGAGCAAACAGGAUUAGAUACCCCUGUAGUCCCUGUCUCUUAUAC
rnacentral:rRNA from 1 species